UGGCAUGGGUUGGACAGUUUGACAGGAGCUGUCCCUUUUUAUUAGACAUGCCAUUCAAAAGUCUUGUGGGUCACAUUUUGCCUAUGACUGAUAUGAAGGUUCAUUGAUUUGCCCAUUGUUGUUGUUAUUUUGCUUUUGUAAUCUUUGUUCUUGUUGGCACCAUUAGCCUUAAAAGAUUACACCGCAUUGCAUUAUAAUGACCUUUCCUAUUGAUUCUUGGUACGAACUGAUAUAAACUGUAUGGACCUAUUUUCGACUCAUUGUUCUCUACUUGUUAUUUCAACAAAUAAUAACAGAAUUCUUUGUUGUUUCAACAAAUGAAGAACAUAGAACUCUGUAAUCAUUCCUGACAAUUACUUCUCAACCAAUUUGCUUCUCCAAUGUCCAUUUUUACUUCUUAGCUUUAAUGUUUUUUUCGGAGUUUUUUUUUUGUUUCGUUUUUUGAAUUCAAACUUGGCAGAUGUUUCGUUAAUGGCUAAAUUGAGACAUAAUUAAGUAUUUAUCUAGUGUUCUUUGUUAUUUUGUAGACAAGCAGUCUUCAAGAACUAUUAUCACCUCUUCAA